GAUUAACGCUGGCGGCGUGCCUGACACAUGCAAGUCGAACGGGUGCUAACUGCCCGCAAGGGUGGUUAGCGCUAGUGGCGGACGGGUGAGUAACACGUGGGCAACCUGCCUGAGAGUGCAGAAUAACCCUGCGAAAGCAGAGCUAAUACUGCAUGUGGUUGUCGGAUGGCAUCAUCUGACAACUAAAGUCGCAAGACGCUCUCAGAUGGGCCCGCGGCCUAUUAGCUAGUUGGUGAGGUAACGGCCCACCAAGGCUGUGAUGGGUAGCUGGUCUGAGAGGACGGACAGCCACACUGGGACUGAGACACGGCCCAGACUCCUACGGGAGGCAGCAGUGAGGAAUUUUCCGCAAUGGGCGAAAGCCUGACGGAGCAACGCCGCGUGAGGGAUGAAGUCUCUAGGGAUGUAAACCUCUGUUGGGUGGGACGAAGAUCUGACGGUACCACCUGAGGAAGCCCCGGCUAACUACGUGCCAGCAGCCGCGGUAAUACGUAGGGGGCGAGCGUUAUCCGGAUUUACUGGGCGUAAAGAGCGCGUAGGCGGUCCCGUAAGUUGGUUGUGAAAGUUCGAGGCUCAACCUCGAAACUGCGUCCAAUACUGCGGGGCUGGAGUGCAAGAGAGGCAAGUGGAAUUUGCGGUGUAGUAGUGAAAUGCGUAGAUAUCGCAAGGAACACCA
rnacentral:rRNA from 1 species